UGACUUCCCAUCGUUUCAGGGAAAAAAAAGGACAAUGACGUUGACUUGUAGAUGCGGCAUGGACAUGGAGAAGGAAGCAGGAGGUUUUAGCCUUCGCCGCGGCCGGUGCUGUAAUCAGGAAUCACGAUCGAAGAGGAUGACGUCUGGCCUGGCCAUUCACAAUAUUAUGAUGCGUAUUUGCUGCCAUACUGCGACUGCUACGAUUACUAGUAGUCGUCGUCAUUUAUUCUCCAAAAGUUGUAGUAAUAUCCAGUCGGCGUCGGGGUGGGGCAAUCUCAAACGCUUUCUGUCUCUGCGACCGCCACCGCCACCGCCAACGCUACUGCCUCACUGCUUUUCUUCUGCUUCGUCCUUAUCCUCCAUCACAGAUGCAUCCUCAGUUGCAACCACUUCCACUCCUGCUCUUUCAGAGGAGGACGUCAUGAUGGGAUAUGUAUUUGGGAAGAAGAAGGCCACUCAAGUUGCUCACUCCUUGUGGAAGCGUGUUGUCCAAAAAGGUGACGUGGUUAUUGAUGCUACUUGUGGCAACGGCCAUGAUACCUUGGCCCUUGUCAACUUGGUUGCUGAUAACACCAUACAUGGAGGCCGUGUUUAUGCUAUGGACAUUCAGAAAGUUUCUUUGGAGACUACUUCACUUUUACUGGAUCAGUCUCUUACUCCAGAUCUGGUGACACACUGAUGGAUGCUUCUGGACAUUAGCUGUUUAAAUCUUCAGAUUUUUUUUUGCCCCCAUCUCUGUAUAGUCUGUUCAAUGCUUGCCCAUCGUUUGGCAUUUUUAUUCCUCGUCUUUAUAGUUCACAAAAGUUGGCUCAUGCAUUUUGUACAUCUGCAUCGCUCUAAAAUAUUUUCAGAUUCUACACAAUGUAUGAAGCCUAGAGAUUUUGAAGACUACGAUUGACUAAAUGCAUGCAAUUAGUGCAAUGUCAUUUCCAGAGUUUGAGAGAUCACUCUUAAGCAAAACAAUUUGAAGAUUUUCUAGUCCUUGCAGCCACAUUAGCUGGCCAAGCACUGCAUUUUACGUUUACAUUUAAUUCUUCAGAAAUGCAACUGGACUUUAGAAUACUAGAAGCAGGUCCAGCUGUAACCAUCACUUCCUACGCUUGCAUUUCUUAAUAUGCACCCCUUUUGUUCUCUUAACCGCACGUUUUACUAAAUACCUCUGAAACCCAAAACUGAGGUACAUUUGUUUGGUUUGAAAUUUAAAGUGACUAAAAUCUCUCUCUCUCAACGUAAUUGAACCUUGUAAAGACUGGCUCUCCCAUUUCACAUUAUUUCUAAAUUUUAUUGUCAUGCUAUUAAAUGCAGAGAAAGCAUGUUGAGCUGUUCCUGAUGUGUCAUAGCAAAAUGGAGGAAGUUGUUCCCAGUGAUGUUGCUGUAAGGUUAGUUGUGUUCAACUUAGG